rnacentral:rRNA from 1 species
UACGUAGGUGGCAAGCGUUGUCCGGAAUUAUUGGGCGUAAAGCGCGCGCAGGCGGAUCGGUCAGUCUGUCUUAAAAGUUCGGGGCUUAACCCCGUGAUGGGAUGGAAACUGCCGAUCUAGAGUAUCGGAGAGGAAAGUGGAAUUCCUAGUGUAGCGGUGAAAUGCGUAGAUAUUAGGAAGAACACCAGUGGCGAAGGCGACUUUCUGGACGAAAACUGACGCUGAGGCGCGAAAGCCAGGGGAGCGAACGGG